GAAUUUAAGCAUAUUAGUAGGGAUGGUGAGGUGCAAUAACAAUGAUACCAGCAGUACUGGCGAACGAACCUGGUAAGUAGUCGUAGUGCAAUUCAUAUGACGUUGGUGCACGAGAUGUUCCAGCCACAGUCGUUGGAGUUAUUUGGUUGGAUCUGGUCGCAGCAAAGGUAUCGUGCCAAUGAGUCUUGUACAGCGAUCCGUGGCGAGGAAAAGCUUUGUAUGCCUAGGGUUACUUCAAUAUGUAGUCCCAUUAGCGGGGUAUGUUGCUCGCAUGCUCUACCUGGAGGUAAGACUGAUAGAGAAGGAGUAUAUCGUUAGAUGUGUAAUAUAUUGUUCGAACGGAAUCGUAGGUACUGAGUUUGUGUAGGGGAGGAAAUUGUAUAUAUAGAAAUCUUAUGCAUGGCGGUUAUACGGCUACUGUACGAUGCGCGAUUCUGUCCCAUUCGGACAGCUUACUGUGACACGCCUUCUGAAACUCGACCGCUCGCCCACCCAGUAUUACAUUGCUGUAUCCGCUAAUUGCCGGAGAAGGGAUUAUUGAAUUUGCUGUGCGGACAUAAAUCGUAUAUAUAAUGUCCCCGUCUUGAAACACGGAUCGAGGAGGGGAGAGUGGGAGGGAGUUUCGCAUCUAUCUGACUAAAGGAACAUUUCACGUGAACAUAAGAGAGAUAUCACCUCGUGAUGGUUGAGAGGCAUUCUAAAUCACUUCCCCCUUCCCGACCCGAAAGGCGGAGAACUAAUUUAAACGAUUGUCCACCCUGGAAAAAUACUGGAUCAUGGAUGCAGUGGUACUAACGUGCAAAUUGUUCGUUACAUGUCAAAUUUGGGGCGAAAGACUCAUCGAACUGCCUAGUAGCUGGUUAACCCCCAAUCUUCCCUCAGGAAUCUACGGUUUCUCUAUUUCUAUGUGGUAUAGCGAAUAUGUAGGGAUAUUGUAGGACAUUUACAAUUUCGUUAUUACUCUUGCAAUGUGUCAUGUACUGUACCGUGUCGCUUAGGGGUUGAAUUGGAAAUUGACUAGGAUUGCAUUUGGUAAGCAUGUGCGGUGAGGAAGAAUUGCCUUUCUGUGGGAUCAUUACAUUCGUAUGCCGUAUUCACAUCUGCAAAAUUGCGCUUCUUUGUGGUAAUAGUGGGACGGUGGUCAUGGAAGCUGAUAUCCGUUAACGAGUGUGUAAUUCCUCACCUGCCGAAUUUUGAGGUGCAGACAAUUCGAUGCUUUAUGUACGUCAUUUAAAUAUCCCCUGACUUCUUCUUCUAGUAUUUUAUGUGCCUAGGGGUUCCGGUUGAGCGGUCAAAGCGGCUGGUGUGAACAGGUGGCGGAAUGCUCGGGCGUGCAGAUCUUGGUAGGAGUAGAGAUUGUUCACGACAAUUGCCGUGUCAGCGCAACUGGGAAAUGUUUCCGUACAAACUGUCAUAGUGUAUGGCUGAGACGGGGGCAAUCUAUACCCGAAGUGGCUUCUCCAGUAGUCACGUCAUGACAUGGAUUGAAUAUGGGGGGUUGCAUUUUCGGCACGGCCAAUUUUCUUCUGGUGACUGGUUUGAGGGCGCGGGAAACCAUUGCGAUUGCAUGACAUUCGGCUGGUAUACUGUAACACGUGAUUAAUCCGCAAAUAUUCUAUGGAGUCAGAUUAGCUUGCGUGAAAUGCAAUGGAUUCAUUGGACAUCUGUCUUCGCAUGUGGACCGUACAACUCGCGCUCACGCACAUUAUAAUCACCCGUACUUAUAUCCGCAGCAGGUUCCCGAGAUUUAUUGUUUAACGUUUGUAGGGGAGAAUGUGCUACGGAAGUCGGCCACAUGGAUUUGUAACUUGGGGAGAGAUAUUUGCUCCGACGAUGACUUAGAAAUCGUGCUUACGCUAUCCAUUGCCAGUCUCCAUGGUUUCUCUCUCUUCGUGUGUGAUCGUGGCGUCUUUGGAAUAAGCUAUGUUUGAACGAUAUGUAGUGCGCGAUGCUUUCGGAACCACCGCUUCCCUAGGGUAUCUAUCUGUUUAAUUACAACAUCGCGUUGCGCUUGAUAAUGUAUCCAUAAUGCAACGUGAAUUCUGCCCAGUGCUCUGAUUGUAACGGUGAUGAAAAUUAUGUAAGCACGGGUCAAUGGCGGGAGUAACUAUGACUCUCUUAAGGUAGCCAAAUGCCUCGUCAUCUGAUUAGUGACGCGCAUGAAUGGGAUGAUGAGAUUCCUCCUGUCUCCGCACAAGGUCUGGCGAAACUACAGUAAUGCGAACAGGCAUUAGCAGUUGGGCGGGGAAAGAAGACCCUGUUGAGCUUGACUCUGCUCUGAUGUUCCGGGAUAAGUUAAUAGGAGUAGGAUAUGAGGGAGACCCGUCGUCCUUGGAAUACCUCAGCUAAUAAUCUUGUUCUGGUAACAAUGUGCUUCUCGUAAUUCUUAUGAUACCAUCGACAUGAACUAUUUUCAGCGCGCGUCCGACACUCAUUUGACAGGGAGUUUGGCUGGGGCGGUACACCUAUAAAAAGAUACCAGAGGUGUUCGACGAAGCGUGCACAAAACACAGAACUUUUGCUUUGAGUAGAUGGAUAUAAACGUUUAUAAUGUGUUCUGCAAAUAUCAGAAUGCGGUAGGAAACUAUGCCCAAUAGAUCCUUGUACGGGUGUCUUUUCCCUUCGAGGUGUCAGAAAAGUUACCACAGGGAUAACUGGCUUGUGGCAGCCAAGCGUUCAAAGCGACGUUGCUUUUUGAUCCUUCGAUGUCGGCUCUUCCUAGCAUUGAGUUGUAGAUUGCUCAAAGCGUCGGAUUGUUCACCCGCUGAUAGGGAACGUGAGCUGGGUUUAGACCGUCGUGAGACAGGUUAGUUUUACCCUACUUGAUUUGCGGUUCCUGCCCCGAAGAAUCUUGCCAGUACGAGAGGAACACUAUAUAUAGGAUGAUAUUUCCCUGGCGUGCGUGCCACUUCUUCCAGGCCAGUACUCCUGCAAUUCCACAUUUGAGCGCCUCUAAACAGGUAGAUUGACGGCCAGUGUAGGAAGAGGAUGUAUUUGCGACACUUUAUGAAAGGCUCUGUUGCUAAGGCUUUAAUGAUCGGUUGAAUCUUUCUUCUGCAUAAGAGGUAUAAUCGAAUCACAUCGAAUUGAUAUGCUGACGUGU
rnacentral:rRNA from 1 species